rnacentral:misc_RNA from 1 species
AUGAAAACAAGUCGGUCUUCUGUGCUGGUGGCAACACAUGUGCACGUUGGCUGCAAAUCCACACACCUGUGCACUUUUGACUUUGGGAUCCACUUGUUGGCUUGUCUGACUUGCAGUUGAUGUUAGCUUUGUGCUCGUCUGGGUCUCAGAGUAAUUUUACACACUCUGAAUGUAAUGGAAUGUAUCUGUGCAUAAUGCGCUAAAAUA